GAAGCGGGAGGGGGAGUGGGAGGGGAAGUGAGCGCGGCCCUAGCAGCUUCCACAACAACAACUUCCGCUCGCGAUAAGCGCGCCCGCACCAGCGAAACAAACAUACAAAUACACCCUACUGGCUACGAUAUUUCGCUUGAUUUAUAUCUCCCAAUAAAACAAGUGCUGCACUUCAGCACAACGCAUGGAAAUUUCCAGGCGUCAGCAGCGGCAGUGCAGCGCAUCAGCAGCGCAAAGCUGGCUUGCUGGCUGGCCGGGAAUUUUUCUUAAACUGGCACACGGCUUCGCAGAAACUUAAUUUUGGUAAUCACCUUGACC